ACAAAAUAAAAGUUGCGGAAGCGAAUGCAUCCAGUUGCGUAUUUUACGGGAGUGUCUUGCUUUUCAUUUUAUUGUUAUUUGGUUUAUAAUCGAUCAUUGGAAAUAAUAAAAUUUCAAAUAUAAUUUGAAAAAUUAUUAAAAUAAGUGAAACAGUACACGAAAAUGUGCAUAAAACGUGAAAAAUUAGUUUGUGAUUCGCUAAAUUAAUGUGAAAAAGGUGCACAAGAAAAGUCGGCGAAAAGAAACGCAAAGCAAAGGCAGCGUUCGUUCAUUCGGUGGCUGAAACCGUUCAUCGUGGUUGGCAAUUUGCAUCUCGAUAAAGUCGUUCUUCUGGCUCAAUUUUUUCUAUGUACAACCAGACAAGACAAAAAUAAUGUGUAGAAACAUAUGAGUUCUAUAAUAAUUAGCUCACCAAAUAAAAGCAAAAAGGGUUCAGUAGGGAGUUAAUGUGACGUAGAAAAAUCCGUACCUUGCAAAGUGCUUAUUACCAGUACCUUAAAAAUGAAAUUGUUUUUAUUUUGACAAUUGGCUGUUUCGUUUAUAUACAGUUUCACUUGUGCAAUGCGGGGGCGGCAGUACCAAGAGUGUGAGUACAUUGGUAUAUCUGUGUGGUAAGGUCUUUCCGCCAGCACAGGGUUGAUGGGAUGUUGCACUGCCACCAUAGUGGACAACGGGCGUUGCACAGCAUCAGUGACGUUCCGUCUACCAUUUUUUACAACGCAUAAUUGUUGGACAAUGAGUGGGCGUCACAUAUGAUUGAAGUGGAAAAGUGAAAACAGGAUUGUUGCUGCAAUUUUCGAGGCCUUGGACCAAGAGCCGUUCGGAUACCUACUUGUUUUAGAUGCUUGCAUUCAUGCAUACACACGAUUAAAUGCAUAUACCGUCUUAACCAUAAUAGCGUUUACCAUUUACUAUAUUAUGAAAUUUGCAUGAUGCAUAGAGUGACGAGCAAGAGAUGCAGGGCCAAAAGUGACCAGUGACAUUGUAAAUGUAAAAACGAAAGUUACGCGCGAGUGAUCUCGUAUACAUAUGUACAUAAAUAGUGUAUACAACAUAAAACCACUAAAAAGUUAAUAACAAUAAAAUAACAGCAGAAAAAUAACAAGACUAUCAAGCGAUUGGCAAAAUGAGUGUGUUUAAUGACUUCCAACGUCUGUGGAUGCAACGUUUUCCACAAAGCUCUCUUUCUGAUGCGUGGGAGCAAGAUGUUCGUGCCAGUUUGGAGCGACAUAAGCAGAAAAUUAUUGAACUGACAAAGGAAUUAGAACAAGAGCAACUUUAUGUCGAAUACCUAGAGCGACUACUGUCCGAUGUGGAAAAAUUUCGCGAAUCUGGUGGGGAUCCAACAUCUCUGUUUGAAGCGGCAACUACUUCAACCUCAGCAUUACAAGGCGACUCUGAUGAUGGAAAAGAUACCAGUGCUGAUAUUAUGCUGGUAAGCUUAUAAACAGGCAUAUU